UGAUUAGAAGCUUGCUUCUAUGACGUUAGCGGCGGACGGGUGAGUAACACGUGGGCAACCUGCCUGUAAGACUGGGAUAACUCCGGGAAACCGGAGCUAAUACCAGAUAACAUUUUCUCUUGCAUAAGAGAAAAUUGAAAGAUGGUUUCGGCUAUCACUUACAGAUGGGCCCGCGGUGCAUUAGCUAGUUGGUGAGGUAACGGCUCACCAAGGCAACGAUGCAUAGCCGACCUGAGAGGGUGAUCGGCCACACUGGGACUGAGACACGGCCCAGACUCCUACGGGAGGCAGCAGUAGGGAAUCUUCCGCAAUGGACGAAAGUCUGACGGAGCAACGCCGCGUGAGUGAUGAAGGCUUUCGGGUCGUAAAACUCUGUUGUUAGGGAAGAACAAGUACAAGAGUAACUGCUUGUACCUUGACGGUACCUAACCAGAAAGCCACGGCUAACUACGUGCCAGCAGCCGCGGUAAUACGUAGGUGGCAAGCGUUAUCCGGAAUUAUUGGGCGUAAAGCGCGCGCAGGCGGUUUCUUAAGUCUGAUGUGAAAGCCCACGGCUCAACCGUGGAGGGUCAUUGGAAACUGGGGAACCUGAGUGCAGAAGAGAAAAGCGGAAUUCCACGUGUAGCGGUGAAAUGCGUAGAGAUGUGGAGGAACACCAGUGGCGAAGGCGGCUUUUUGGUCUGUAACUGACGCUGAGGCGCGAAAGCGUGGGGAGCAAACAGGAUUAGAU
rnacentral:rRNA from 1 species